CUACGUGCCAGCAGCCGCGGUAAUACGGAGGGUGCGAGCGUUAAUCGGAAUAACUGGGCGUAAAGGGCACGCAGGCGGUGACUUAAGUGAGGUGUGAAAGCCCCGGGCUUAACCUGGGAAUUGCAUUUCAUACUGGGUCGCUAGAGUACUUUAGGGAGGGGUAGAAUUCCACGUGUAGCGGUGAAAUGCGUAGAGAUGUGGAGGAAUACCGAAGGCGAAGGCAGCCCCUUGGGAAUGUACUGACGCUCAUGUGCGAAAGCGUGGGGAGCAAACAGGAUUAGAUACCCUGGUAGUCCACGCUGUAAACGAUGUCGAUUUGGGGGUUGAACUUUAAGUUUGGCGCCCGUAGCUAACGUGAUAAAUCGACCGCCUGGGGAGUACGGCCGCAAGGUUAAAACUCAAAUGAAUUGACGGGGGCCCGCACAAGCGGUGGAGCAUGUGGUUUAAUUCGAUGCAACGCGAAGAACCUUACCUACUCUUGACAUCCA
rnacentral:rRNA from 1 species